rnacentral:rRNA from 1 species
CCGCGUGAGUGAAGAAGGCCUUUGGGUUGUAAAGCUCUUUUGUAGGGGAAGAUAAUGACUGUACCCUAAGAAUAAGGUCCGGCUAACUUCGUGCCAGCAGCCGCGGUAAUACGAAGGGACCUAGCGUAGUUCGGAAUUACUGGGCGUAAAGCGCGCGUAGGCCGUUGAGUUAGUUAAUUGUGAAAUCCCAAAGCUUAACUUUGGAACUGCAAUUAAAACUGCUCGACUAGAGUUUGAUAGAGGAAAGCGGAAUACAUAGUGUAGAGGUGAAAUUCGUAGAUAUUAUGUAGAACACCAGUUGCGAAGGCGGCUUUCUGGAUCAACACUGACGCUGAGGCGCGAAAGUAUGGGUAGCAAAGAGGAUUAGAUACCCUCGUAGUCCAUACCAUAAACGAUGAUUGCUAGAUGUUGGAAAUUUAUUUUCAGUAUCGCAGCUAACGCAUUAAGCAAUCCGCCUGGGGAGUACGACCG